rnacentral:rRNA from 1 species
UACGUAGGGCGCAAGCGUUAUCCGGAAUUAUUGGGCGUAAAGAGCUCGUAGGCGGUUUGUCGCGUCUGCCGUGAAAGUCCGGGCUCAACUCCGGAUCUGCGUGGGUACGGGCAGACUAGAGUGAUGUAGGGGAGACUGGAAUUCCUGGUGUAGCGGUGAAAUGCGCAGAUAUCAGGAGGAACACCGGUGGCGAAGGCGGGUCUCUGGGCCGAUACUGACGCUGAGGAGCGAAAGCGUGGGGAGCGAACAGG